CUAAUCCUCAGUGGGUGACAGCUAGUGCUGACCCUCCGGGGGAGGAAUAUGGUCUGGUGCAUAACCCUAACCAACCCCCUUCCCGACAGCCAGGAUGAACACAUCCCAAACAAACAAGAAUCGUUUGAUGGUACCACAUUCCCAAAAGUUAUGAAAAAACAUUGCCGAAGAGUGGAAGCACUUCAAGCAACGCCCAGUCUCCUCAACCACAAAAUGUUUCCUCUGUGCUUGUGAUAUAUAGGCCCUAUACACAGUCUUUACAUGUACCUCCUGCAAUGAUGAUGCUUUCAAUAUUUGCAGUCUUUUGCCACAGUGUUGAAAUAUGGAUUCUGAAUUUGUUAGACUCGGAGUAAAUUUGUUCCAUGAUUGAACAA